rnacentral:lncRNA from 1 species
AAAGAAAGUGGAGCUUGGUAUAUUUGGAUAAGAGCACAAAAGAAUGGAGAUGGGAAAAUAAGUUUAAAUUGGAAAAGAAUGUACGGUGGAUAUCCGAACGAUUAAAUGACUAAGUGGAAAAUGGUUGUUGGAGAAUUUCACAUCAGAAUUUGGACGUCGAGACAAGUUUAAGUAGUGAUGUGGCAUUAAUGGACGAGUGAAUAAGGUGAGGAAGUUAGUCAUUGGGA